UGGGGAAUAUUGCACAAUGGGGGGAAACCCUGAUGCAGCGACGCCGCGUGGAGGAAGAAGGUCUUCGGAUUGUAAACUCCUGUUGUUGAGGAAGAUAAUGACGGUACUCAACAAGGAAGUGACGGCUAACUACGUGCCAGCAGCCGCGGUAAAACGUAGGUCACAAGCGUUGUCCGGAAUUACUGGGUGUAAAGGGAGCGCAGGCGGGAAGGCAAGUUGGAAGUGAAAUCCAUGGGCUCAACCCAUGAACUGCUUUCAAAACUGUUUUUCUUGAGUAGUGCAGAGGUAGGCGGAAUUCCCGGUGUAGCGGUGGAAUGCGUAGAUAUCGG
rnacentral:rRNA from 1 species